AUUGAACUCUGGCGGCAUGCCUUACACAUGCAAGUCGAACGGUAACAGGUUAAGCUGACGAGUGGCGAACGGGUGAGUAAUGUAUCGGAACGUGCCCAGUCGUGGGGGAUAACUGCUCGAAAGAGCAGCUAAUACCGCAUACGACCUGAGGGUGAAAGCGGGGGAUCGCAAGACCUCGCGCGAUUGGAGCGGCCGAUAUCAGAUUAGGUAGUUGGUGAGGUAAAGGCUCACCAAGCCGACGAUCUGUAGCUGGUCUGAGAGGACGACCAGCCACACUGGGACUGAGACACGGCCCAGACUCCUACGGGAGGCAGCAGUGGGGAAUUUUGGACAAUGGGCGCAAGCCUGAUCCAGCCAUGCCGCGUGCGGGAAGAAGGCCUUCGGGUUGUAAACCGCUUUUGUCAGGGAAGAAAAGGUUCUGGCUAAUACCUGGGACUCAUGACGGUACCUGAAGAAUAAGCACCGGCUAACUACGUG
rnacentral:rRNA from 1 species